UGGCGGCGUGCCUAAUACAUGCAAGUCGAACGGUCUUUCUAUGGAAGCUUGCUUCCACUGAGAAGAUAGUGGCGAACGGGUGAGUAACACGUGGGUAACCUGCCCAUAAGAGGGGGGAUAACAUCCGGAAACGGGUGCUAAUACCGCAUAGUUUUCUUGAUCGCAUGAUCGGGAAAGGAAAGACGGCCUUUGUGCUGUCGCUUAUGGAUGGACCCGCGGCGUAUUAGUUAGUUGGUGAGGUAACGGCUCACCAAGACGAUGAUACGUAGCCGACCUGAGAGGGUGAUCGGCCACAUUGGGACUGAGACACGGCCCAAACUCCUACGGGAGGCAGCAGUAGGGAAUCUUCCGCAAUGGACGAAAGUCUGACGGAGCAACGCCGCGUGAGUGAAGAAAGGUUUUCGGAUCGUAAAACUCUGUUGUCAGAGAAGAACAAGUUGGAGAGUAACUGCUCCAGCCUUGACGGUAUCUGACCAGAAAGCCACGGCUAACUACGUGCCAGCCGCUGC
rnacentral:rRNA from 1 species